rnacentral:lncRNA from 1 species
CUGUGAAAAAUAAGGCACCCUUUCUCCUCUCUAAGUGGCCAAAAGGAAGGAAGGGGGCGUCCAAGAGUUGGACGCCCCAAAUCCCACAUGCCAAGCUCUCAUCUCAUGCCUGUUUGGAAGAAAUUUUUGAGAGCUUUGCUUGCUGAUUCUUAGGCAUUAAAGAGAGCCUCUCUUGCUAGUUUUACAGUAGAAAAAUAAGAAAGAAAGG